CAAUGGAGCUGAGCAGCGUGGCAGGGGAGGAGGGAAGUGGGGAUCCGAAGUGCCAGCCGCAGCCACCCAUGCACAGUAACUGGGGUCCUGCUAACUAUCACUGAUGACUAUAUUGCCCUGUGUAACCUGCUGCACCAGGCCAGCAGUGUUCUGCAGUUGAGGGGGCAAUGAGGGCACCUCACCCAGAGAAGUAAAGUAGCCACCACAAAGGGAAACCUCCAGGAAGACCUCCAUUGGUGAAAGCACCACGCCUGGCUGGCUAGGAGGGGUGCAGCUAGCUGAUUGUGAUGGUGCAGGCACAGGUACUGUAAGGGUGCAGCAACUUGGGCAGACAAUGAGCCAAUAUUGUUAUUCAGCUCCC